rnacentral:rRNA from 1 species
CCUUUGUACACACCGCCCGUCGCUACUACCGAUUGAAUGGCUCAGUGAGGCCUUCGGACUGGCUCAGGGAGGUUGGCAACGACCACCCCGAGCCGGAAAGUUCGUCAAACUCGGUCAUUUAGAGGAAGUAAAAGUCGUAACAAGGUUUCCGUAGGUGAACCUGCGGAAGGAUCAUUA